rnacentral:sRNA from 12 species
GACCCAUGUCCGAAUUGUCACCGUAUGGUGCGCGUGCCGAUGGCUAGGACAUGGGUUUUUU